UGCCCCCUGGCCCAGCUGGUUAAGGCGCACGACUGUUAUCCUUAGUUGCUUCUAAGCGCAGUGAAGGUUCAAAUCGUGAGAUCGAGAGUUCGACCCUCUCGGGGGCAG